rnacentral:rRNA from 1 species
AGAGUUUGAUCAUGGCUCAGAACGAACGCUGGCGGCGUGCCUAACACAUGCAAGUCGAGCGCGAAUGGAGCAAUCCUAGUAGAGCGGCGCACGGGUGCGUAACACGUGGAUAAUCUGCCUGGGCGUCUGGGAUAACCAGUCGAAAGAUUGGCUAAUACCGGAUAAGCCCCCGGGAGCUUCGGCUCUUGAGGGAAAAGGUGGCCUCUGUAUACAAGCUAUCACAUCCAGAUGAGUCCGCGGCCCAUCAGCUAGUUGGCGGGGUAAUGGCCCACCAAGGCAACGACGGGUAGCUGGUCUGAGAGGACGAUCAGCCACACUGGAACUGAGACACGGUCCAGACUCCUACGGGAGGCAGCAGUGGGGAAUUUUGCGCAAUGGGCGAAAGCCUGACGCAGCAACGCCGCGUGUGUGAUGAAGGUCUUUGGAUUGUAAAGCACUUUCGACCGGGACGAAAACCCCUGGGCUAAUACUCCAGGGCUUGACGGUACCGGGAGAAGAAGCACCGGCUAACUCUGUGCCAGCAGCCGCGGUAAUACAGAGGGUGCGAGCGUUGUUCGGAAUUAUUGGGCGUAAAGCGCGUGUAGGCGGCUUUGCAAGUCGGAUGUGAAAGCCCUCGGCUCAACCGAGGAAGUGCGUUCGAAACUGCAGAGCUUGAGUACCGGAGAGGGUGGCGGAAUUCCCCAAGUAGAGGUGAAAUUCGUAGAUAUGGGGAGGAACACCGGUGGCGAAGGCGGCCACCUGGACGGUCACUGACGCUGAGACGCGAAAGCGUGGGUAGCAAACAGGAUUAGAUACCCUAGUAGUCC